CGACGUGGAGAACCUGCCGUAUACGUGGGGAGUAACACUUGGAAAUAGGUGCUAAUACCGCAUAAGCGCACAGCUUCGCAUGAAGCAGUGUAGGAAAAACAAAAAAGACUAAAGUCUUUUGGUGGUAUACGAUGGAUCCGCGUCUGAUUAGCUAGUUGGCGGGGUAAAGGCCCACCAAGGCGACGAUCAGUAGCCGGCCUGAGAGGGUGAAGGCCCCCCCCCCCCCCCCCCCCCCCCCCCCCCCAAUUGGGACUGAGACACGGCCCAAACUCCUACGGGAGGCAGCAG
rnacentral:rRNA from 1 species